GAAUACCAGCAGGACCAGUAUUACUUGAGACACCACGCUCGCUACACCUCUCCAGUCACCACGCCUCCACGUCACCACCGACCCCUUGAGUCUAUGCAGCCCGGUGUCCGUCUGUGUCUUGUGGGUGUGACGUUCAGCAGCGGCAGGAACAGCAACGGGAAGCUUGAUCUGCGUCCGUUUUCGUGCGGCGGGGUGACGUGCCGCUGCUGUGAGGUUAUCGGACCACACCAAACCACAGCACAGCACAGCACAGCACAGGAGAGGCGUUGCCGAUCCAAAGGCCUGACUCCACAGCGGUAGUGAGCCUCGUCUACCUUGCACUUAACGGACAAUGCUCACUACCAACACUAACGCCUCCGCCACCGCCGCAAGGUUGGGGAAGGACUCGCUGCCUUGCAUCGCGCACACGGUCUACUCUUAACGACCGCCACCGCUGCUGCCGCCGUUGAGGGAGACUGGCUGGAUGAGUGGGUAAUAGAGGCGAGGCAGGUGUGGUGAGGCGGAGGAUUGGAGACGAGAACCUACAGAUGACGGCAGACACGGAAGAUUCCACUAACCAGGAGUUGGUGAUCCGAAGCCGUGACUGCAGCGAUCCCGUGCGUCCUGCACCAUCAGGAAAGGUACUCUGGCUUCGCACUGCGCCUACAUUGACCGUUGCCGCCGCCGCCGCCGCCGCUGCUACCGCUACUCGGAGGGGCACUGCCUCGCAUUGGGCCUUCACUGCCGUCCCGCUAAUACGUGUCGCCGUCGCCGCUACUGGCACUGAGGGACUUCGCCUCGCAGCGGCCUGGCAAACACCUGCUACACCACCACCACUAACUCCGCCGCCACCACCGCAGUCCAGAGAGAUUCAGCUUCGCAUAGCAGACAUCCUCCUAUUCAACGCUUGCUGCCACUACCACCUCAUUAUUGUGGUGUCACUGUACUUGAAGCUUGGAUCUGUUGUCACUACUGAAUAAUAAAGUGUAAAGAAAU